rnacentral:rRNA from 1 species
UACAGAGGGUGCAAGCGUUGUUCGGAAUCAUUGGGCGUAAAGGGCGUGUAGGCGGUCUGUUAAGUCAUGUGUGAAAUCCCUCGGCUCAACCGGGGAACGACGCAUGAAACUGACAAGCUAGAGUACCAAAGAGGGGGGUGGAAUUCCCGGUGUAGCGAUGAAAUGCGUAGAUAUCGUAAGGAAGACCAGUGGCGAAGGCGAGUCUCUGGACAGCAACUGACGCUGAGGCACGAAGGCCAGGGGAGCAAACGGG